rnacentral:rRNA from 1 species
CCCUUAGAUGUUCUGGGCCGCGCGCGUGCUACACUGAGUGGAUCAGCGGGUCAGGUUGCGCGAAAGUGUUUCCUAAUCUUGAAAUCCGCUCGUGAUGGGGAUUGACGGUUGCAAUUUUCCGUCAUGAACGAGGAAUACCUUGUAAGCGCGGGUCAUCAUCCCGCGCUGAAUACGUCCCUGCCCUUUGUACACACCGCCCGUCGCUCCUACCGAUUGAGUGGUCCGGUGAGGCUUUGGGAUCUGAGCGGAAAGAGCGUUUCGCUGUUUCUGCUCGGAAAACUCAGUCGAACCUUAUCAUUUAGAGGAAGGAGAAGUCGCAACA